rnacentral:lncRNA from 1 species
UACUAAAAGAUAAAUUAUAUUGCUAUUAUCAAAUCAUAAAAGAUCACCAUAUUUGCUCUAACAUCUUCAAAAUUUCUCACGCCCCGGAUUACACAUUUUCCCGGGCACGCCGACAAAUUCGCCGUAUUCAAGAGAAUUUUUCCUGUAUACGAAGCGAUAGCUGUACCUGUAAACAAAUUUAAGCAACAACUAGUAAUAUAGAGCUGCUAAACUG